rnacentral:tRNA from 1 species
GCCGGGGUGCCCGAGCCAGGUCUAAGGGGCCGGACUCGAGAUCCGGUGGGGCUAAAACCCCACGUGGGUUCAAAUCCCACCCCCGGCG